AUUGAACGCUGGCGGCAGGCCUAACACAUGCAAGUCGGACGGUAGCACAGAGAGCUUGCUCUUGGGUGACGAGUGGCGGACGGGUGAGUAAUGUCUGGGGAUCUGCCCGAUAGAGGGGGAUAACCACUGGAAACGGUGGCUAAUACCGCAUAACGUCGCAAGACCAAAGAGGGGGACCUUCGGGCCUCCCACUAUCGGAUGAACCCAGAUGGGAUUAGCUAGUAGGCGGGGUAAUGGCCCACCUAGGCGACGAUCCCUAGCUGGUCUGAGAGGAUGACCAGCCACACUGGAACUGAGACACGGUCCAGGCUCCUACGGGAGGCAGCAGUGGGGAAUAUUGCACAAUGGGCGCAAGCCUGAUGCAGCCAUGCUGCGUGUAUGAAGAAGGCCUUCGGGUUGUAAAGUACUUUCAGCGGGGAGGAAGGCGGUGAGGUUAAUAACCUCGCCGAUUGACGUUACCCGCAGAAGAAGCACCGGCUAACUCUGUGCCAGCAGCCGCAGUAA
rnacentral:rRNA from 1 species